rnacentral:rRNA from 1 species
AACGAACGCUGGCGGCAGGCUUAACACAUGCAAGUCGAACGCAUCGCAAGAUGAGUGGCAGACGGGUGAGUAGCGCGUGGGAACAUACCCUUUUCUACGGAAUAGCUCUGGGAAACUGGAAUUAAUACCGUAUACGCCCUACGGGGGAAAGAUUUAUCGGGGAAGGAUUGGCCCGCGUUGGAUUAGCUAGUUGGUGGGGUAAAGGCCUACCAAGGCGACGAUCCAUAGCUGGUCUGAGAGGAUGAUCAGCCACAUUGGGACUGAGACACGGCCCAAACUCCUACGGGAGGCAGCAGUGGGGAAUAUUGGACAAUGGGCGCAAGCCUGAUCCAGCCAUGCCGCGUGAGUGAUGAAGGCCUUAGGGUUGUAA